rnacentral:tmRNA from 1 species
GGUCUGGUCAAACCGAGCUCCCGCCCCUAUAUGAACAGGGCUGCUUCGGCAGAUAUGACGAUAAAUGGCGUUCGUAAUAAGCGGACUGGACCCGGGGGCGGUACCCGGCGGCUCCACCAGAGGCCCUGCGGAAGCGGGGGUUCCGGCGGGGCCGACAUAGCAUCGACAGACGUGUAAAGGCUCUGCUUUCGUUCGGAUGGUCUCCGUCAUUGGACCGUUUUGAUAGUUGCAAACGACAACUACGAUGAAGGUUUCGCUCUCGCUGCGUAGCAGCGCGGGAAAACCGACCUUAAAGCCCUAGUGCCUUAUCAGCGCUAGGCGGGGCCGCCGGGGGCCUGGCAACAGAACCCCGGCACU